rnacentral:sRNA from 1 species
CUGGAAUUCUCCGAUGCCGGGAAAC